rnacentral:lncRNA from 13 species
CAGAAAGGGGGCCAGAGCAGCCCAAACACUGGAGAAAGGGCCAUAUUCUAUGCCAUUGUAACCAUCCUGCUCCUGACCCCAGGGUGAAAACAUUAGCAUCCAAGGUAAAGAGAGGCUCUAGUUAUCAUCAGGGCUGUCUUCUUCCCUCAUUUUUUCUCUGGCUCACCCUAAGUCAUUCCGUGGAAGAUGCCUGCCCAGGAUUUCACACUUUAUCUUUCAUGUAAAAUAAAUGCAGCUUCAUCCUUUAAGGAGUUAUCCACACCACGUUUCUGUCCUUCCACCUUCGAUCCUUGCUUGAAUUCUCUAUUUGCUCAUUUUCAGAAUCCUUCUGCUUGCCCCAGCCAUGACCAUUGACUGCCCCUACUGCCAAAUUCAGCCUUCACGGGCAGCCUGUGUCGCUCAGCUGCUUGGAGGAGUUUCUGGGUGGAAGGUCAGCCAGCUGCUUCCUCCACACCAGGAGGGGUUCCAACUCUGAAGUCAUUUUCUUUAUGUCAUCAACUUACUUGGCUUGCUUUGCAAACACUGGCUGCCCUAUUUCAUGGCAUUGAAAUGUCAUGAGCCAUACAUGGUGCCCUUCAAAGCUGGCAUCUGAUGCUUUCUGCAUUUGAUGCCUUAUCUGCAGAAGCUUCACAUGCCCUUGGCGCAGUUGCUCCGUGGCUGAAAACAGAUGUCUUGGUAUUCAAGAGUACUUUCUGUCUCCUGUGACUCAACACAGGGACAUGGAUGAAUCUGGAAAACAUCAUCCUCAGCAAACUGACACAAGAACAGAAAAUGAAACACCGCAUAUCCUCACUCAUAGGUGGGUGAUGAAAAAUGAGAACACAUGGACACAGAAAGGAGUCCUUAUAAGAGGGAAGCAAGAGUGUCAGGGUCAGAGAGAGAAGAGAUCUGAAGACACUGCCGCUGGCUUUGGAGAUAAAAAGCCAAUACGUGCAGCUGGCCUCUGGAAGCUGGAAAAGGUAAGGAAAUGGAUUCUCCCCUAGAGCCUGCAGCAGGCAGCUCUGUCACCCCAUUCGAGACUUCUGACUUCUAGAAUGGUGAAAUAAGAAAUGUGUGUUGUGAGAAGCCUCUUAGUUCGUGGUAAUUUAUUACAGUAGCACUAAAAAACAGAUACACCUGGCCUAUAAGAACUUGAGUUUCUGUACCUUCCCUUCUGGUAGUGUGGUUGGUGGAGAGGAUGAACAAUGGGCAAUGGAGGGGAAUGAAAUUCUUAGAAGACAUCUUUUUGUUCAUAGACUUCCCAAGCCAGGGAAGAACAAAAGAAGACAUCUUUUGUUCACCUAAAGCCAGGAAAGUCUAUGAAGCUCCCUUCUCUGCAGAAACCGGG